GCGAUGUGCUCGUUCAAAUGCCGGGUGAAAAUGAAUUAGUUGACGCACAACCUAAAGUAGAAUGUGGAUUUUUAAGUUUGUACAAAACAGGCGGGGCAAAAAUCCCAAGUUUAGCUGAAUCCGUUAUUAAUGAAGUGAAAAGACUUAUUGAAAUGUAUAAAGGGGAGUCACUAAGUAUAACAGUAACAGGGCAUAGUCUUGGUGCUGCAUUGGCUUUACUAGUAGC
rnacentral:misc_RNA from 1 species